rnacentral:rRNA from 1 species
AUUGAACGCUGGCGGCAGGCCUAACACAUGCAAGUCGAACGAGUGGCGGACGGGUGAGUAAUGUCUGGGAAACUGCCUGAUGGAGGGGGAUAACUACUGGAAACGGUAGCUAAUACCGCAUACCAUCAGAUGUGCCCAGAUGGGAUUAGCUUGUUGGUGGGGUAACGGCUCACCUAGGCGACGAUCCCUAUCUGGUCUGAGAGGAUGACACGCCACACUUGAACUGCGAAACGGUCCAGACGCCUACGGGAGGGAGCAGUGGGGAAUAUGGCACAAUGGGCGCAAGCCGGAUGCAGCCAUGCCGCGUGGAUGAAGAAGGCCGUCGGGUUGUAAAGUACUUUCAGCGGGGAGGCGUUACCCGCAGAAGAAGCACCGGCUAACUCCGUGCCAGCAGCGGCGGUAAUAC